rnacentral:rRNA from 1 species
CGAACGGGUGAGUAACACGUGGGCAAUCUGCCCUGCACUCUGGGACAAGCCCUGGAAACGGGGUCUAAUACCGGAUACUGACCACCUUGGGCAUCCGAGGUGUUCGAAAGCUCCGGCGGUGCAGGAUGAGCCCGCGGCCUAUCAGCUUGUUGGUGAGGUAAUGGCUCACCAAGGCGACGACGGGUAGCCGGCCUGAGAGGGCGACCGGCCACACUGGGACUGAGACACGGCCCAGACUCCUACGGGAGGCAGCAGUGGGGAAUAUUGCACAAUGGGCGAAAGCCUGAUGCAGCGACGCCGCGUGAGGGAUGACGGCCUUCGGGUUGUAAACCUCUUUCAGCAGGGAAGAAGCGAAAGUGACGGUACCUGCAGAAGAAGCGCCGGCUAACUACGUGCCAGCAGCCGCGGUAAUACGUAGGGCGCGAGCGUUGUCCGGAAUUAUUGGGCGUAAAGAGCUCGUAGGCGGCUUGUCACGUCGGUUGUGAAAGCCCGGGGCUUAACCCCGGGUCUGCAGUCGAUACGGGCAGGCUAGAGUUCGGUAGGGGAGAUCGGAAUUCCUGGUGUAGCGGUGAAAUGCGCAGAUAUCAGGAGGAACACCGGUGGCGAAGGCGGAUCUCUGGGCCGAUACUGACGCUGAGGAGCGAAAGCGUGGGGAGCGAACAGGAUUAGAUACCCUGGUAGUCCACGCCGUAAACGGUGGGCACUAGGUGUGGGCAACAUUCCACGUUGUCCGUGCCGCAGCUAACGCAU